rnacentral:rRNA from 1 species
AAAUUGACUUAGCGGCGGACGGGUGAGUAACGCGUGGGUAACCUGCCUCAUACAGGGGGAUAACAGUUAGAAAUGACUGCUAAUACCGCAUAAGCGCACAGUGUCACAUGACACAGUGUGAAAAACUCCGGUGGUAUGAGAUGGACCCGCGUCUGAUUAGGUAGUUGGUGGGGUAAUGGCCCACCAAGCCACCGAUCAGUAGCCGACCUGAGAGGGUGACCGGCCACAUUGGGACUGAGACACGGCCCAAACUCCUACGGGAGGCAGCAGUGGGGAAUAUUGGACAAUGGGGGAAACCCUGAUCCAGCGACGCCGCGUGACUGAAGAAGUAUUUCGGUAUGUAAAGGUCUAUCAGCAGGGAAGAAAAUGACGGUACCUGACUAAGAAGCCCCGGCUAACUACGUGCCAGCAGCCGCGGUAAUACGUAGGGGGCAAGCGUUAUCCGGAUUUACUGGGUGUAAAGGGAGCGUAGACGGCACUGCAAGUCCGAAGUGAAAGCCCGGGGCUCAACCCCGGGACUGCUUUGGAAACUGUGGAGCUAGAGUGCAGGAGAGGUAAGUGGAAUUCCUAGUGUAGCGGUGAAAUGCGUAGAUAUUAGGAGGAACACCAGUGGCGAAGGCGGCUUACUGGACUGUAACUGACGUUGGGGCUCGAAAGCGUGGGGAGCGAACAGGAUUAGAUACCCUGGUAGUCCACGCCGUAACGAUGAAUACUAGGUGUCGGGGAGCAAGCUCUUCGGUGCCGUCG